AACGAACGUUAGCGGCGCGCCUAAGACAUGCAAGUCGAGCGAGAAAGGGCUUCGGCCCCGGUAAAGCGGCGCACGGGUGAGUAACACGUAGGUUAUCAACCCCCGAGUGGUGGAUAACCC
rnacentral:rRNA from 1 species